rnacentral:rRNA from 1 species
GACGUAGGGGGCGAGCGUUGUCCGGAUUUAUUGGGCGUAAAGCGCGCGUAGGCGGCCGCGCAAGUCGGAUGUGAAAACCCGGGGCUCAACCCCGGGCGUGCAUUCGAUACUGCGCGGCUCGAGACAGGUAGGGGAGAUCGGAAUUCUUGGUGUAGCGGUGAAAUGCGUAGAUAUCAAGAGGAACACCUGAGGUGAAGACGGGUUGCUGGGCUGAUACUGACGCUGAAGCGCGAAAGCUAGGGUAGCAAACGGG